rnacentral:rRNA from 1 species
CCUACGGGUGGCAGCAGUGAGGAAUAUUGGUCAAUGGUCGCGAGCCUGAACCAGCCAAGUAGCGUGAGGGAGGACUGCACUACGUAUUGUAAACUUCUUUUGUAAAGGAAUAAAGGAAGGCACAUGUGCCUUUAUGAGUGUCCCUGAAGAAUAAGGCUCGGCUAACUCCGUGCCAGCAGCCGCGGUAAUACGGAGGAUCCGAGCGUUAUCCGGAUGUAUUGGGUUUAAAGGGAGCGUAGAUGGGUUGUUAAGUCAGUUGUGAAAGUUUGCGGCUCAACCGUAAAAUUGCAAUUGAUACUGGCAGUCUUGAGUACAGGUGAGGUAGGCGGAAUUCGUGGUGUAGCGGUGAAAUGCUUAGAUAUCACGAAGAACUCCGAUUGCGAAGGCAGCUUACUAAACUGCCACUGACAUUGAUGCUCGAAAGUGUGGGUAUCAAACAGGAUUAGAUACCCUAGUAGUC